UACGAAGGGGGCUAGCGUUGCUCGGAAUUACUGGGCGUAAAGCGCACGUAGGCGGGUUCUUAAGUCGGUGGUGAAAUCCUGGAGCUCAACUCCAGAACUGCCUUCGAAACUGGGAAUCUUGAGUCCGGGAGAGGUGAGUGGAACUGCGAGUGUAGAGGUGAAAUUCGUAGAUAUUCGCAAGAACACCAGUGGCGAAGGCGGCUCACUGGCCCGGUACUGACGCUGAGGCGCGAAAGCGUGGGGAGCAAACAGG
rnacentral:rRNA from 1 species